rnacentral:rRNA from 1 species
UUCCAGACUCCUACGGGAGGCAGCAGUGGGGGAUAUUGCACAAUGGGGGGAACCCUGAUGCAGCGACGCCGCGUGGGUGAAGGAGUGCUUCGGCAUGUAAAGCCCUAUCGGCAGGGAAGAAGCAAGACGGUACCUGACUAAGAAGCCCCGGCUAACUACGUGCCAGCAGCCGCGGUAAUACGUAGGGGGCGAGCGUUAUCCGGAUUCACUGGGUGUAAAGGGAGCGCAGGCGGCGCGCCAAGUCUGAUGUGAAACCCCGGGGCUCAACCCCGGGCAUGCAUUGGAAACUGGCGGGCUGGAGUGCCGGAGAGGUAAGCGGAAUUCCUAGUGUAGCAGUGAAAUGCGUAGAUAUUAGGAGGAACACCAGUGGCGAAGGCGGCUUACUGGACGGCAACUGACGCUGAGGCUCGAAAGCGUGGGGAGCAAACAGGAUUAGAUACCCGUGUAA